rnacentral:rRNA from 1 species
ACUGAACGCUGGCGGCAGGCCUAACACAUGCAAGUCGAGCGAUAACAGGGGUAGCUUGCUACCCGCUGACGAGCGGCGGACGGGUGAGUAAUGCAUAGGAAUCUGCCCGAUAGUGGGGGAUAACCUGGGGAAACCCAGGCUAAUACCGCAUACGUCCUACGGGAGAAAGGGGGCUCCGGCUCCCGCUAUCGGAUGAGCCUAUGUCGGAUUAGCUGGUUGGUGAGGUAACGGCUCACCAAGGCGACGAUCCGUAGCUGGUCUGAGAGGAUGAUCAGCCACAUCGGGACUGAGACACGGCCCGAACUCCUACGGGAGGCAGCAGUGGGGAAUAUUGGACAAUGGGGGGAACCCUGAUCCAGCCAUGCCGCGUGUGUGAAGAAGGCCCUCGGGUUGUAAAGCACUUUCAGUGAGGAAGAACGCCUGGUGGUUAAUACCCAUCAGGAAAGACAUCACUCACAGAAGAAGCACCGGCUAACUCCGUGCCAGCAGCCGCGGUAAUACGGAGGGUGCGAGCGUUAAUCGGAAUUACUGGGCGUAAAGCGCGCGUAGGUGGCUUGAUAAGCCGGUUGUGAAAGCCCCGGGCUCAACCUGGGAACGGCAUCCGGAACUGUCAAGCUAGAGUGCAGGAGAGGAAGGUAGAAUUCCCGGUGUAGCGGUGAAAUGCGUAGAGAUCGGGAGGAAUACCAGUGGCGAAGGCGGCCUUCUGGACUGACACUGACACUGAGGUGCGAAAGCGUGGGUAGCAAACAGG